rnacentral:sRNA from 1 species
AAAGGCUCAACUAGAGGCCUGAUGAAGUCUCCUAGUCCCGCACUGCUUGCUACUGCGAGCGCUGUCCUUGCGCAAUAUAGGGUCCGCUGGAAUUGAAGCCGCAGCCGCUGCAACUGACGCCUGCGCGCAGAUUGGCUACCUGUUAUGUCCUGACAACGAGCGCCGACGACUACUGCAACUCUCCUAGCCAAUCCUGCGCGCAGAUCUGCUCGCUGGUUUAUCCUUGCAGCGACUCGGUGACAAGGCACCCUGUAGGGAAGAGACUAAGAAAAGGAUUAGAAACUGCAUAACACACGCGACACUUCAAAAAUUUAUUCCUGGUCAAUUAGCACCCUGCAGGCGCUUAGGACUCGAUUGAUGAGCUGCUGCCUUUCUCCAAAUUACGCCUUGCCUAGACCCACUGAUCGCCGUAUGAACACAAAACUGCCUGAUGACAGACACCACAGCGAAAUGACGACGAGAUUUCCUGUGGGGAAGAGAAGAGAGCCAUUAGUUAUUUCCUCUACACGUGCGGCACCUUAUAAAAUGUAUUACGAUGGCGGUCCAGCCCAGUAUCCAGCAACAGCCAGCAAGAAGGUAAAAAUUUGCAAGCGGAACACGUUUUUACACCAAGCUAAGCGAAGAGAGACCGUACAACUGACGCCGUUAAAACGCAUGAAUGAAUGAGACCGCACCACUACAAGACUGAUUAAUA